rnacentral:rRNA from 1 species
GAUGAACGCUGGCGGCGUGCCUAACACAUGCAAGUCGAGCGGAGAUAAGAGGCGUACUUGUACAAAUUUUAUCUUAGCGGCGGACGGGUGAGUAACACGUGAGUAACCUGCCCUCAAAUGGGGAAUAACAUCGGGAAAUCGGUGCUAAUACCGCAUAAUGUCCAAGGGUCGCAUGGCCUAUGGACCAAAGGAGAAAUUCGUUUGAGGAUGGACUCGCGUCCGAUUAGAUAGUUGGGGAGGUAACGGCUCACCAAGUCAACGAUCGGUAGCCGAACUGAGAGGGUGAUCGGCCACAUUGGGACUGAGACACGGCCCAGACUCCUACGGGAGGCAGCAGUGGGGAAUAUUGGGCAAUGGGGGAAACCCUGACCCAGCAACGCCGCGUGAAGGAAGAAGGUCUUCGGAUUGUAAACUUCUUUGACGAGGGACGAAACAAAUGACGGUACCUCGAAAACAAGCCACGGCUAACUACGUGCCAGCCGCCGCCGUAA